GACAGAGGGGGCAAGCGUUGCUCGGAAUUACUGGGCGUAAAGGGCUCGUAGGCGGCCAACUAAGUCGGAUGUGAAAUCCCCAGGCUCAACUUGGGAACUGCAUCCGAUACUGGAUGGCUUGAAUCCGGGAGAGGGAUGCAGAAUUCCAGGUGUAGCGGUGAAAUGCGUAGAUAUCUGGAGGAAUACCGGUGGCGAAGGCGGCAUCCUGGACCGGCAUUGACGCUGAUGAGCGAAAGCUAGGGGAGCAAACGGG
rnacentral:rRNA from 1 species